GAUGAACGCUGGCGGCGUGCCUAAUACAUGCAAGUCGAGCGAACGGACGAGAAGCUUGCUUCUCUGAUGUUAGCGGCGGACAGGUGAGUAACACGUGGAUAACCUACCUAUAAGACUGGGAUAACUUCGGGAAACCGGAGCUAAUACCGGAUAAUAUUUUGAACCGCAUGGUUCAAAAGUGAAAGACGGUCUUGCUGUCACUUAUAGAUGGAUCCGCGCUGCAUUAGCUAGUUGGUAAGGUAACGGCUUACCAAGGCAACGAUGCAUAGCCGACCUGAGAGGGUGAUCGGCCACACUGGAACUGAGACACGGUCCAGACUCCUACGGGAGGCAGCAGUAGGGAAUCUUCCGCAAUGGGCGAAAGCCUGACGGAGCAACGCCGCGUGAGUGAUGAAGGUCUUCGGAUCGUAAAACUCUGUUAUUAGGGAAGAACAUAUGUGUAAGUAACUGUGCACAUCUUGACGGUACCUAAUCAGAAAGCCACGGCUAACUACGUGCCAGCAGCCGCGGUAAUACGUAGGUGGCAAGCGUUAUCCGGGAUUAUUGGGCGUAAAGCGCGCGUAGCGGUUUUUUAGUCUGAUGUGAAAGCCCACGGCUCAACCGUGGAGGGUCAUUGGAAACUGGAAAACUUGAGUGCAGAAGAGGAAAGUGGAAUUCCAUGUGUAGCGGUGAAAUGCGCAGAGAUAUGGAGGAACACCAGUGGCGAAGGCGACUUUCUGGUCUGUAACUGACGCUGAUGUGCGAAAGCGUGGGGAUCAAACAGGAUUAGAUACCCUGGUAGUCCACGCCGUAAACGAUGAGUGCUAAGUGUUAGGGGGUUUCCGCCCCUUAGUGCUGCAGCUAACGCAUUAAGCACUCCGCCUGGGGAGUACGACCGCAAGGUUGAAACUCAAAGGAAUUGACGGGGACCCGCACAAGCGGUGGAGCAUGUGGUUUAAUUCGAAGCAACGCGAAGAACCUUACCAAAUCUUGACAUCCUUUGACAACUCUAGAGAUAGAGCUUUCCCCUUCGGGGGACAAAGUGACAGGUGGUGCAUGGUUGUCGUCAGCUCGUGUCGUGAGAUGUUGGGUUAAGUCCCGCAACGAGCGCAACCCUUAAGCUUAGUUGCCAUCAUUAAGUUGGGCACUCUAAGUUGACUGCCGGUGACAAACCGGAGGAAGGUGGGGAUGACGUCAAAUCAUCAUGCCCCUUAUGAUUUGGGCUACACACGUGCUACAAUGGACAAUACAAAGGGCAGCGAAACCGCGAGGUCAAGCAAAUCCCAUAAAGUUGUUCUCAGUUCGGAUUGUAGUCUGCAACUCGACUACAUGAAGCUGGAAUCGCUAGUAAUCGUAGAUCAGCAUGCUACGGUGAAUACGUUCCCGGGUCU
rnacentral:rRNA from 1 species